rnacentral:misc_RNA from 1 species
UACACGUAUAUAUGUGUGUAUAUAUAUAUGUAUAUAUAUUUGGAUAUUUCCGCGGGGUAAUCUCAUCGAUGGCGUCAUUAUCCACCGGGGCCAUUUCAUUAUAACAGGACCAGUUUUUUACCUGACGAAACCGAGAGAGAGAGAGAGAAAAAAACAACGACAACAACAACAACAACAACCAACUAAUCGUGACGCAGAUUAUGAUUUCUCAUCUUCUUUACCGCGGAAGACGGACGUCUGAAAACGCUCGUCUUUCCAUCGCCUCCUCCUGGCAACGGGACAAAGAAUCGUCAGGAACGCCUGCACGCCUGGGCCGCGUGCGGAUCAAUGAUGUUGGCUUCGAGUGUUCUCCUCCU